rnacentral:misc_RNA from 1 species
GGAAAUGGUAGCGUUAAGUGGUGCUCAUACGAUUGGAUUCUCGCAUUGUAAGGAAUUCAGCUCUCAGAUCUAUAAUUAUAGCAAGUCGUCUUCGUAUGAUUCGCAGUAUAACCCUAGAUUCGCGCAAGGAUUGCAGAAGGCUUGUUCUGGUUUUGAAAAGAAUCCUACAUUAUCGGUUUUCAAUGACAUUAUGACUCCCAAUAAAUUUGAUAACUCUUACUUCCAGAAUCUGCCGAAGGGAUUGGGGAUCUUGCAGUCUGAUCAUGGGUUGUAUAAUGAUUGGAGG